rnacentral:rRNA from 1 species
UACGGAGGGUGCAAGCGUUAUCCGGAUUCACUGGGUUUAAAGGGAGCGUAGGUGGCUUUGUAAGUCAGUGGUGAAAUCUUAGAGCUCAACUCUAAAACUGCCAUUGAUACUGCUUAGCUUGAAUCACGUCGAGGUGGAUGGAAUAUUACAUGUAGCGGUGAAAUGCUUAGAUAUGUAAUAGAACACCGAUUGCGAAGGCAGUUCACUAGGCGUGUAUUGACACUGAGGCUCGAAAGCGUGGGGAUCAAACAGGAGUUAGAAAACCCG